ACGGCUUAAAACGAGUUCGACUAAAUAAUAGAGGUUCGACAAACACAAACGCCGGCAUUGUGGAGGUCUACUACCAAGGGAUAUGGAGAACAGCUUGUGCAGCUCCAUACUGGAACUCCAACGCCGCUACGGUCGUAUGUCGUCAACUUGGAUUCACUGCUUCUGCCGACGUUGCGAACCCAGGGGAUUACUACAGCGAAAGCGUCAAUCAGCCAACCCACACGCUAUUGGAUGAUGGCCUGUAUUGUAGUGGUACCGAACAGUUCAUUGCAGAUUGCAUGGAAGAGAGGCCGGAUAUUGGAGAAAGGUGCCCCAACGGAGAGGAAUUCGCAGCUGCUAACUGCGCAGAAAACAAGAGGGCAGAAGGCUAUGAAGAUCUCAAACUUCGGGCUGCCCAACUUCUUCUUAACCUUUUCCAUGAGACUAAGAAGUAGUUUCCUUCACCUUCUGAUCAGAUGGCGACAUAAAUGUGUUGGAGGAUAGAUCCAGUCUCAAUUCAUAUUUUAAAUCCUAUAGAUGGAUCGAUCGAAAAUGAUUUUAAAAUUUACAAAUUUUUAGAUUCAGCAAUUUGGCUUUUAUUCUAUUUUUUUAAUGGUUGGUCCCCUUGAAUUGCUUUUCAUUCUAUGUAUUAAAGAGAAGAUUAUGUUGUUUGUAGAGGCCUAAUAAGUGAUUGUUUUUGCAUCUAAUACUCUCAUUAUUAGUAUAGGCAUUACAUUCGUUUUGAAUGUUUGCAAGAAAAAAAUAGUAGUAAAUUUCAUUUAUAUCGGAAUAUUAGUUUUACUAUUCAUGAUUGUUUUGAUAUAUAUAUUUACAUGAAAUAUGUCGGGCUAUCGUGGAAAAAUAUGAUGACCACUCGGAAAAAGAGCAUAUGUCUAAGUAUGUAAUUAUGUCGUGGAAUAAAAUCGCUGAAAAAUUGCAUAAUAUAUAAAUUUUGCAGCAAUUCGUAUGUUAGUAAUACAGUUAACCAUCUUGUUGAUGAAGGGUGAAAUAUAUUACGGCUAUCCUACACGUGCUGCCGCACUAGGCAAACCUACAUAUCUUAUUAGGUCUGAUAUAUGCAGCAACUGUUGGCAAGCGAUUUCGUAUGCAUAUCCCUUUGCUUGUGCUUAAACUCAUUUAAUUUGCUAGCGGUUUGAACAAUAGCAACGUCACUCUGCAGCGCGCUGGAGCGAACACGACUCAUAGAACUAUACUGGAAUGCAAAAGGGUGGCGGUGCAAAAUGUCGUGUCUCUCAUGUAACAUAUUUUCCUCAUAAGCGGUGUUAAACUAUUCCUUUGAAUUGUGUGUUAUUAAUGACUGUAUAUAGUUGACAUUCGGUUUGCACAAGCAAUGAAGAAAUCAUGUACAUGUAGGCUACUGUACAACUUUGGAUUCUCUUUCAGAUGCAUAAACCUGAUUAUAUGACGCGAACGUCCUGGGCCCCGUUGCAGAAAGAGUUGCAAUCAAUCGCAACUCUAAAAAUCAUGCGUAACUUGAUUUUUAAGCAAUCAACAACGCGCAUUUGGGACUGGUGAUUGAUUUUUUUUUACUAGCUUUUAAACGCAACUCUUUCUUCAACAGGCCCCUGAUCAGGUAAACGCUCAAGCUUCUCUGACGGAGCUUGGAAAUACCAAAGCAAAUACUUAAACGCACAAGCAGAGUGUUUGCUUUAUAGCUUAAUCGUCCAGCAAAUUCUAACAGGCAGUUAGCAAUUGCUUUAGCUUACCAGCAAAAGCAUUUUGCAUGCUCAUUUUUAUGCAUAAGGAAUCUAGCGAAAGCCAAGCAAAUGCCUAACAAAAAGCAAUUGCUACUCACUUUUCAUGCAUCCGUCCCAUUUUCUUUCCGCAAUCACUACGAAGACGCUUUCUAUACAACGUACUACAUGCAACAAGUCAAAUCACAAAGACAGCUGAAAAGGAUUUUGUAGAAAAAAAAAUAAAAGUGGUGGACCGAGACAGUAGAUCGUCCGAAAAUCAGCGACCUGAUUCCAGGACUACACCGUUGGUUUGAUUCACCGAUUUUA
rnacentral:misc_RNA from 1 species